UGACCGAUAGGGAUGAACCUGCGGAAAGAUCAUUAACAAACCUAGCUCGUUCGCGUACACAGGGGCAACCCUCGCGCGAUGUCAGCAAUACCUAGGUCACCCUUGAAUAAACUACCCUUGUUGCUUUGGCGGGCCGCCCCUCGGGGCCAGCGGCUUCGGCUGCUGCGCGCCCGCCAGAGGACCACAACUCUUGUUUUUAGUGAUGUCUGAGUACUAUAUAAUAGUUAAAACUUUCAACAACGGAUCUCUUGGUUCUGGCAUCGAUGAAGAACGCAGCGAAAUGCGAUAAGUAAUGUGAAUUGCAGAAUUCAGUGAAUCAUCGAAUCUUUGAACGCACAUUGCGCCCUUUGGUAUUCCGAAGGGCAUGCCUGUUCGAGCGUCAUUAUAACCACUCAAGCCUUCGCUUGGUAUUGGGGUUCGCGGCUGCGCGGCCCCUAAAAUCAGUGGCGGUGCCUGUCGGCUCUACGCGUAGUAAUACUCCUCGCGUCUGGGUGCCGGUAGGUUGCUUGCCAGCAACCCCUAAAUUUUUUACAGGUUGACCUCGGAUCAGGUAGGGAUACCCGCUGA
rnacentral:rRNA from 1 species